rnacentral:rRNA from 1 species
GCACGUAACGAUGAUGCCCGCUUUUCGGUCAUAAGACCGUGAGGCCAAGUGAAAACAUUAAGCAUCCCACCUGGGGAGUACGCCGGCAACGGUGAAACUCAAAGGAAUUGACGGGGGCCCGCACAAGCGGAGGAACAUGUGGUUUAAUUCGAUGAUACGCGAGGAACCUUACCCGGGCUUGAAUUGCAGAUGAAGGAUCCAGAGAUGGUGACGCCCUUCGGGGCAUCUGUGAAGGUGCUGCAUGGUUGUCGUCAGCUCGUGCCGUGAGGUGUCGGCUCAAGUGCCAUAACGAGCGCAACCCCUCUCUUCAGUUGCCAUCAGGCAAAGCUGGGCACUCUGGAGACACUGCCACCGCAAGGUGUGAGGAAGGUGGGGAUGACGUCAAAUCAGCACGGCCCUUACGUCCGGGGCUACACACGUGUUACAAUGGGGGGUACAGAAAGCUGGCUGCCCGCAAGGUCAGUCCAAUCAAGAAAGCCCUCCUCAGUUCGGACUGGGGUCUGCAACCCGACCCCACGAAGCUGGAUUCGCUAGUAAUCGCGCAUCAGCCAUGGCGCGGUGAAUACGUUCCCGGGCCUUGUACACACCGCCCGUA